rnacentral:tRNA from 1 species
GGAAAGAUGGCCGAGUGGUCGAUGGCGCUGCACUCGAAAUGCAGUAUACGGGCGACCGUAUCUAGGGUUCGAAUCCCUAUCUUUCCGCCA